UCGAGGAUCUUCGGCAAUGGGCGCAAGCCCGACCGAGCGACGCCGCGUGUGCGACGAAGGCCUUCGGGUUGUAAAGCACUGUCGAGGGGGAGGAAAGCCGCAAGGCCUGACCUAUCCCUGGAGGAAGCACGGGCUAAGUUCGUGCCAGCAGCCGCGGUAAGACGAACCGUGCGAACGUUGUUCGGAAUCACUGGGCUUAAAGGGCGCGUAGGCGGGCUGCCGCGUCCGGGGUGAAAGCCUCCCGCUCAACGGGAGAACGGCCUCGGAUACGGGCGGCCUCGAGGGGGGUAGGGGCACGCGGAACUGUGGGUGGAGCGGUGAAAUGCGUUGAUAUCCACAGGAACUCCGGUGGCGAAGGCGGCGUGCUGGACCCUCUCUGACGCUGAGGCGCGAAAGCCAGGGGAGCGAACGG
rnacentral:rRNA from 1 species